rnacentral:lncRNA from 1 species
CAAUAACCCAAAGUCAUGAAAUGAGAAAGGAAGUAAACACUUGGAUGGAGAAUCACACACACACACACACACACACACACACACACACACACACACACACACCUCCUAACAGGUAUGUUGUCUGCAACAAGGCAAAAAUAAUUCAUUAAUAUCUCAUUUAAACUUGAGGGCGAGGGAAUUCCUGAACCACCUCUCUGGAGCAAAUAAUGGAAAUUGGAAAUUGAUUGUCAUUUACCUUUGAGGAAGACUUCGGGAUGUGCCAUGUCUUUGGUAUAGGGCUGCGUGGUGUUGUGACGCAUGUGAAGAAAUACAUCCAAGGACCUUCCUAAGCUCAUCUGCAGCCACAAUUCCCCCACCCUAUUCUUCUCGUAGGGUUUUAAGUUUGCUGUCUGCAAAUGUUCCUCAUUCCGGAGUCUUUGGGAACCAAUCCACCUAGCUGGAGAAGGACAUCGUACCCUGGUAAUGAAGACAGGCAUAGAGAGGCACAGGGUUCAGGAGGGGACAGUCAGCACCGCAGGUGGCUCCGCAGCAGCUGACUCAGUGAUUGAGACGAGUUCCUGUCUCUGGUUUUGUUCGGCACAUCAGAGUCUGCGACUGAGCCUUUGGUCUGGAGUUUGAGCAAACUGGAGCUGAAAUUGCCUCGACAGAUACCUUGGAGCGCUGACACCGCAGCACCAGCCCUGCUGUGGCCAGGAAGGGAGGGAGGGGACUGCCUUUCCUGUGUGUCUGUGGGUCACGGCCUUGAGUUAGAGCCCCGGGCCUCCUGCCCUGGGACGUGGAGGACCUUACACAGGUGCCUGAGGAACU